UACGUAGGGUGCGAGCGUUGUCCGGAAUUAUUGGGCGUAAAGGGCUCGUAGGCGGUUUGUCGCGUCGGGAGUGAAAUCCACUGGCUUAACUGGUGGCUUGCUUUCGAUACGGGCAGACUGGAGGUAUGCAGGGGAGAACGGAAUUCCUGGUGUAGCGGUGAAAUGCGCAGAUAUCAGGAAGAACACCGGUGGCGAAGGCGGUUCUCUGGGCCUGUACUGACGCUGAGGAACGAAAGCGUGGGGAGCGAACAGG
rnacentral:rRNA from 1 species